rnacentral:rRNA from 1 species
AACGAACGCUGGCGGCAUGCCUAACACAUGCAAGUCGAACGAGACCUUCGGGUCUAGUGGCGCACGGGUGCGUAACGCGUGGGAACCUGCCCUUAGGUUCGGAAUAACUCCCCGAAAGGGGUGCUAAUACCGGAUAAUGUCUUCGGACCAAAGAUUUAUCGCCUUUGGAUGGGCCCGCGUUGGAUUAGCUAGUUGGUAGGGUAAAAGCCUACCAAGGCGACGAUCCAUAGCUGGUCUGAGAGGAUGAUCAGCCACACUGGGACUGAGACACGGCCCAGACUCCUACGGGAGGCAGCAGUGGGGAAUAGUGGACAAUGGGCGAAAGCCUGAUCCGGCAAUGCCGCGUGAGUGAUGAAGGCCUUAGGGUUGUAAAGCUCUUUUACCCGGGAUGAUAAUGACAGUACCGGGAGAAUAAGCUCCGGCUAACUCCGUG